UAACAUCCGGAAACGGGUGCUAAUAACCGCAUAGUUUUCUUGAUCGCAUGAUUGAGAAAGGAAAGACGGCCUUUGUGCUGUCGCUUAUGGAUGGACCCGCGGCGUAUUAGUUAGUUGGUGAGGUAACGGCUCACCAAGACGAUGAUACGUAGCCGACCUGAGAGGGUGAUCGGCCACAUUGGGACUGAGACACGGCCCAAACUCCUACGGGAGGCAGCAGUAGGGAAUCUUCCGCAAUGGACGAAAGUCUGACGGAGCAACGCCGCGUGAGUGAAGAAAAGGGUUUUCGGAUCGUAAAAACUCUGUUGUCAGAGAAGAACAAGUUGGAGAGUAACUGCUCCAGCCUUGACGGUAUCUGACCAGAAAGCCACGGCUAACUACGUGCCAGCCGCCGC
rnacentral:rRNA from 1 species